UGUGUGUGUGUGUGUGUGUGUGUGUGUGUGAGAGAGAGAGAGAGAGAGAGAGAGAGAGAGAGAGAGAGAGAGAGAGAGAGAGAGAGAGAGAGAGAGAUAUAUAUGAGGGUGAGAGGUCGCUGGGUCAAAAGUGAUACAAAAUAAAUAGAAAAAACAAAUAUUCUCGUAAUAAGAAUGACAAAUUAAAUGUAACAGUAAUUUGUUAUAACUGAAAAAUGAAAGAAACUGAAAAUAGAGAGAGUUAGAGAUAUAUUAAGAGUCUGCCGGGUCAAAUGUUUCAGUGUUUGGAGAGCUGUAUAAGAGGACAGAGGGAGCUUUCCUCAAACAAAUUUCCCUCCAGUUUUUCCUCCAGCGGCGGCGGCGGGCGGCGGCGGCGUGGAGGGAAGGGAGGAAAGGAUUAGGAAAAUUGAAGCCUUCUCUCAGACAUGUAAG